GACGAACGCUGGCGGCGUGCCUAAUACAUGCAAGUCGAGCGGAUCUUUAGGAGCUUGCUCCUAAAGAUUAGCGGCGGACGGGUGAGUAACACGUGGGCAACCUGCCUGUAAGACUGGGAUAACUUCGGGAAACCGGAGCUAAUACCGGAUAACUUCUUCCCCCGCAUGGGGAAAGGUUGAAAGACGGUUAUGCUGUCACUUACAGAUGGGCCCGCGGCGCAUUAGCUAGUUGGUGAGGUAACGGCUCACCAAGGCAACGAUGCGUAGCCGACCUGAGAGGGUGAUCGGCCACACUGGGACUGAGACACGGCCCAGACUCCUACGGGAGGCAGCAGUAGGGAAUCUUCCGCAAUGGACGAAAGUCUGACGGAGCAACGCCGCGUGAGUGAAGAAGGUCUUCGGAUCGUAAAACUCUGUUAUCAGGGAAGAACAAGUACCGUGUAACUAACGGUACCGUGACGGUACCUGACCAGAAAGCCACGGCUAACUACGU
rnacentral:rRNA from 1 species